UGGAACAGAACACCAUCACCACCUCACUGAUUCACUACAACACUGUGUGUCGGUCUCCAGGCUUUCCACGUUAGUGCUUCAGACCAUAAGCCUGAUGCUCGGUGAGACGGAGAAAGGAGCUGCUCGCUUUAGCGCACUAACGUCCAAGCAGGGAAGCGUGACUGCAGACUUGCUCUUGGCUUUGGUGUGUGUGAUCCUGAGCUAAAGCCUUACAACUGCAAUUCUACAUCUCACACAGAGCUCCUGUUUAUGGUUUAUCAGGCCCAGCGUGUGGUUCUGGUUCUGUCAUUUCUGUCAGAGUCUCCCUUGAGCCCGUCUCAGGCUGUCCUCCUGUACCAGCGGUGCCACUUGCUCCUGACCUGCAUGCAGCACAACCCCUGUGUGAACACCUCCAUUAUUACAGAACUUAAAGAAGAGUUCAGGUGAGAGAGUCUGUUGUGGACGACUGGGUUUUAUAAGACGGUGUACAAGCCGAGACAAACAAAUGAGCUACUAGUAUCAGAUUUAGAUCACCAGAUAACCAAUGAGAUCCAAUCCUUCUCCAAAAGAGUUCGACUGAUCCAAAUGAUCGUCCAUUUACUGCAGUAUUUUAAUAAUCUGAUUAUCAGAAACAUCACAGUUAACACAAUUCACAUUCAUCACAAAAUAAGUGCACUUACAGAAAGGUGACGCAUUAAAUGUAAAGAUGUAGUUGUAGUUGAUGUA